AUCGCAGAACUGCUGGCCAUCCAGGUCACGCGGAAUGUUGCGUUUGGAAGGGUCUCUUCCAAGGCUCAGACGCCUGUCAAAGUCCAACUUGACAGUGGCCACAGCCCAUAGAGGGUGCUAGGCCCGUAAGGUGGGCGUCUGACUUUGCUGACCUCUUCCCCGAGUCGGAUAGCUUGAGAGUGCUGUCCAAAGUGCCAGGUAAACUCCUGGUAAGGCUAAAUAUGACCCCAAGACCGAUAGCAAACAAGUACAGUGAUGGAAAUUUGAAAAGAACUUUGAAGAGAGAGUUAAGAGUACGUGAAACUGUAUGGCAGUAAACACAGCCUUCCUCGAAGUUUGCCCGGGAGACCCAACCUAGGGGUGGGCCAGCCCUUGGCGCCUGAUCAGCAAUGACUGGCGUCGGGGUGCCUGGUCUGUCCACGGGUGCAUCUCUCUCGGGUGUUACGGUAGGAACUGUUGGGACUGGACCAAGGGCCUGGGAUGAAGUUCUCGCUCCGGCGUUAGCUCCCGGUGUCCCGGCUCCGGACCCGACAGGCCUAGUGGCCGACUUGUACAGCAAGCAACCCUUCUGUUGCGGUCGGUCCUUCCCUAUCGAGUAGGUCGGCGGAGGCUGUGACCCGUCUUGAAACACGGACCAAGGAGUCUAACAUGUAUGCGAGUCAUUGGGUUGACUAAACCCAAAGGCGCAGUGAAAGCAAAGGUCUGCUUGCAGGCCGAGGGACGAUCCUUAACCGGCGCAGUCCCGCCAUUUCCAAUCAUCCUCGUAUGUUGGGAAUAGGUAGAGCAUAGAUGUUGGGACCCGAAAGAUGGUGAACUAUGCCUGUUCAGGUUGAAGUCAGGAGAAAUCCUGAUGGAGGACCGUAGCG
rnacentral:rRNA from 1 species